CUAGACUUGUAUAUCUAUUUGGGCCAGUUACAUGCUGAACUAGACUUGUAUAUCUAUUUGGGCCAGUUACAUGCUGAACUAGACUUGUAUAUCUAUUUGGGCCAGUUACAUGCUGAACUAGACUUGUAUAUCUAUUUGGGCCAGUUACAUGCUGAACUAGACUUGUAUAUCUAUUUGGGCCAGUUACAUGCUGAACUAGACUUGUAUAUCUAUUUGGGCCAGUUACAUGCUGAACUAGACUAUCUGAAUCGGGUAUAAAAUGGAAUGUUACUAUGUUUACUAUUUCAAUAUUCCCCGAUUCUAUCAUAACUUUCUAAGAUUAAAAUUUAACAGCAGAAGGUAGGUAGCUAUAAUCACAUACAUUUUUUAAUAACAUUGUCCACGUGCUAAUUUUACGUGAAUCUGAAAAAAAACUAAUUUAGGCAUUAGGCACAACUAACCCAUCCAUUGAUGGUAAUCUCUCUCUAGAAAUGGUUUAUCAUAUUUAAUGUCAAUUAACAAAGUAUGUAUCAAUAAGUAAAAGUCUGAUUAAAUGAUUAUAAAUCAACACUGUGCGAGGAGUAAAAAUGUGAAUAAAAUUUGAAUUAUAAUCAACAAAGGUGAACAAUACAGUUCAGACUAGUGAACAGAAAAACAGUUCAGACUAGUGAACAGAAAAACAGUUCAGACUAGUGAACAGAAAAACAGUUCAGACUAGUGAACAGAAAACAGUUCAGACUAGUGAACAGAACAUAAAGAUUAGAAUUACGUAGAAAUAUAAUAUAAAGAUUAGAAUUACGUAGAAAUAUAAUUUAUCAGAAAAUAAAACUGUGUAAUCACACAAUUGAUUAAAUUAGUGUAAAUAAAAUAUCACAACAAUCUUACAACGUCGUAAAACACUACAAAAAUACACGACCAAGAUAUAUGAUCAAUAGUUCAACAUCACAACUCAUAACAAACGUUCAUGCAAAAAGAGCUUGCCGGAUGUCUUAAAAAUUUACAGGAUGACAUACAUCAGAUGUAAAGUACUAUAUAGAUCUUCUCCAAUGACAUCCAUCAGAUGUUAGGUGGAUCUUCUCCAAUGACUUACGUUUUUAGUACUAUUCGGUUGUUAGGUAAGAAUAACACUACUUUAAACACACGACAUGAGUAGAUAGACAACAGAAAGUUCACAAGCAGUACUUUGAUAUACAAUAACCCAACAGGAAUGAAGAUAUAUUUAAGUAGGUUAGGGACAACUAC